GGAGAAGUGACAGAGUGGUCUAUUGUGUUGGUUUGCUAAACCAUUGUACAUUUUGGUGUACCAAGGGUUCGAAUCCCUUCUUUUCCA
rnacentral:tRNA from 1 species